CAGCAUUGAUCUCAUCAGAAAAGACUCCAAGUUUUGGCACGCCGCUGUCAAGCUCCCAAGGAGCUUGCGGGGACCUCACUUGAAGAACUGCUGAUUUAGGAAUUCUUAGUUAACUGCUGACUGAGGUCUGCCUUCAGGCUACUUCCCUCUCUGGGACUGUGGGAGCCCUGUGUGUAUCGUCAGAAUCUGUUGCUAUGCCUGGUGAACAGCAAGUGCUCGAAAUACACCUGGUUAAGGGAGUCCAGUGUGGAGAGAGCUUUGUCCCUCAUCCGAGAUUGUAAUCAGAGCACACUGUUAUAUGUAGAAGUUGGUGAUAUUGGGGAUGUUCCAGUGUAAAAGGAGAAGUUUUCUUAAAGAUCCACUGGCUGUCUUUCACUGAACCUGGAAUGCUUCCAGUUUCCACAUCUGAUAUGGGUCUUGUCUCAAGACUUGAGGACUGGAUUUACUGUGGUGAUCAUUUCAUAUAGUACGCAGAAUGUCAGAUCUCUACAUUUCAAUGAAAAGACUUGAUUUAGAUAAUUCUUUUUAUAAUGGCCUUACUGAGAUAUAAUUCUGAUAGCAUACAGUAAAAAGCAUACAGUUCAGUGGUUUUCAGUAUAUUUGCAGAGUUGUACGAGCAUCAUCAUUGGAACAUUUUUUUGUCACCCCUGAAUAAAACCCUGGACCCAUUAGCAAUUCAUCCCAUUUCUCUUGGGGAGAGAAUGCCCCUGCAUUCUCUAACUCAUUCUGGGCAUUACAUAUAAAAUAUUCAUUAAGUAUGUGG
rnacentral:lncRNA from 1 species